CAGUCGCCGCGGUAAUACGAGGGGUGCAAGCGUUAUUCGGAUUGAUUGGGUGUAAAGGGUGUGCAGACGGCUUAUUAAGUCACUUGUUAAAUUCUUCGGCCUAACUGAAGGUCUGCAAGUGAUACUGAUGAGCUAGAGGGUGGAAGAGAGAAGUGGAAUUCUCGGAGUAGCGGUAAAAUGCGUAGAUCUCGAGAGGAACACCAAUGGCGAAGGCAGCUUCUUGGUCCAUUCCUGACGUUCAUACACGAAAGCGUGGGGAGCAAACGGGAUUAGAUACCCGCGUAGUCCCUGUCUCUUAUAC
rnacentral:rRNA from 1 species